rfam:Staphylococcus capitis strain CR03 genome assembly, contig: BN1517_Contig_8
GUUUAUCAAAUUUUAAGACAAUUCAAAUUAUUAAGAAUACUUAUCCAUUCACCGAAAGGAGUAUAAUAAAAUGACUUAUCAUACAUCACAUUAUCUACCGACAACUCAAAACAUUAUUAUCAUUUUAUUAUACUCGUUAGGACUCGAACUUUAGUUAGUUGAACUACUAAAUGUUUAAGUCCUAUUUCUAGUUGAAUGGGACUUUCAAA